GACGAACGCUGGCGGAGUGCUUAACACAUGCAUGUCGAACGGAAAGGCCCUGCUUUUGUGGGGUGCUCGAGUGGCGAACGGGUGAGUAACACGUGAGUAACCUGCCCUCGACUUUGGGAUAACUUCAGGAAACUGGGGCUAAUACCGGAUAGGAGCUCCUGCUGCGUGGUGGGGGUUGGAAAGUUUCGGCGGUUGGGGAUGGACUCGCGGCUUAUCAGCUUGUUGGUGGGGGAGUGGCUUACCAAGGCUUUGACGGGUAGCCGGCCUGAGAGGGUGACCGGCCACAUGGGGACUGAGAUACGGCCCAGACUCCUACGGGAGGCAGCAGUGGGGAAUAUUGCACAAUGGGCGGAAGCCUGAUGCAGCAACGCCGCGUGCGGGAUGACGGCCUUCGGGUUGUAAACCGCUUUCGCCUGUGACGAAGCGUGAGUGACGGUAAUGGGUAAAGAAGCACCGGCUAACUACGUG
rnacentral:rRNA from 1 species